rnacentral:rRNA from 1 species
GUCGAGAAUCUUUCACAAUGGGGGCAACCCUGAUGGAGCGACGCCGCGUGGAGGAUAAGGUCUUCGGAUUGUAAACUCCUGUCAUGCGUGAACAAGGUUGCUUGGUUAAUACCUGGGCAAAUUGAUGGUAACGCAAGAGGAAGAGACGGCUAACUCUGUGCCAGCAGCCGCGGUAAUACAGAGGUCUCAAGCGUUGUUCGGAAUCACUGGGCGUAAAGGGUGCGUAGGUGGCGGUGUAAGUCAGAUGUGAAAGCCCGGGGCUCAACCUCGGAACUGCAUCCGAUACUGCCAUGCUAGAGUACUGGAGAGGUGACUAGAAUUCUCGGUGUAGCAGUGAAAUGCGUAGAUAUCGAGAGGAAUACCAAAGGCGUAGGCAGGUCACUGGACAGUUACUGACACUGAGGCACGAAGGCCAGGGGAGCGAACGGGAUUAGAAACCCGAGUAGUCC